rnacentral:tRNA from 2 species
GGGGGAGUGGUGGAAUGGCAGACACAGCAGACUCAAAAUCUGCCGGCCUCACCGGCCGUGAGGGUUCAAGUCCCUCCUCCCCCACCA